GAUGAACGCUGGCGGCGUGCCUAAUACAUGCAAGUCGAGCGAACGGACGAGAAGCUUGCUUCUCUGAUGUUAGCGGCGGACGGGUGAGUAACACGUGGAUAACCUACCUAUAAGACUGGGAUAACUUCGGGAAACCGGAGCUAAUACCGGAUAAUAUUUUGAACCGCAUGGUUCAAAAGUGAAAGACGGUCUUGCUGUCACUUAUAGAUGGAUCCGCGCUGCAUUAGCUAGUUGGUAAGGUAACGGCUUACCAAGGCAACGAUGCAUAGCCGACCUGAGAGGGUGAUCGGCCACACUGGAACUGAGACACGGUCCAGACUCCUACGGGAGGCAGCAGUAGGGAAUCUUCCGCAAUGGGCGAAAGCCUGACGAAGCAACGCCGCGUGAGUGAUGAAGGUCUUCGGAUCGUAAAACUCUGUUAUUAGGGAAGAACAUAUGUGUAAGUAACUGUGCACAUCUUGACGGUACCUAAUCAGAAAGCCACGGCUAACUACGUGCCAGCAGCCGCGGUAAUACGUAGGUGGCAAGCGUUAUCCGGAAUUAUUGGGCGUAAAGCGCGCGUAGGCGGUUUUUUAAGUCUGAUGUGAAAGCCCACGGCUCAACCGUGGAGGGUCAUUGGAAACUGGAAAACUUGAGUGCAGAAGAGGAAAGUGGAAUUCCAUGUGUAGCGGUGAAAUGCGCAGAGAUAUGGAGGAACACCAGUGGCGAAGGCGACUUUCUGGUCUGUAACUGACGCUGAUGUGCGAAAGCGUGGGGAUCAAACAGGAUUAGAUACCCUGGUAGUCCACGCCGUAAACGAUGAGUGCUAAGUGUUAGGGGGUUUCCGCCCCUUAGUGCUGCAGCUAACGCAUUAAGCACUCCGUCUGGGGAGUACGACCGCAAGGUUGAAACUCAAAGGAAUUGACGGGGACCCGCACAAGCGGUGGAGCAUGUGGUUUAAUUCGAAGCAACGCGAAGAACCUUACCAAAUCUUGACAUCCUUUGACAACUCUAGAGAUAGAGCCUUCCCCUUCGGGGGACAAAGUGACAGGUGGUGCAUGGUUGUCGUCAGCUCGUGUCGUGAGAUGUUGGGUUAAGUCCCGCAACGAGCGCAACCCUUAAGCUUAGUUGCCAUCAUUAAGUUGGGCACUCUAAGUUGACUGCCGGUGACAAACCGGAGGAAGGUGGGGAUGACGUCAAAUCAUCAUGCCCCUUAUGAUUUGGGCUACACACGUGCUACAAUGGACAAUACAAAGGGCAGCGAAACCGCGAGGUCAAGCAAAUCCCAUAAAGUUGUUCUCAGUUCGGAUUGUAGUCUGCAACUCGACUACAUGAAGCUGGAAUCGCUAGUAAUCGUAGAUCAGCAUGCUACGGUGAAUACGUUCCCGGGUCU
rnacentral:rRNA from 1 species